rnacentral:antisense_RNA from 1 species
CAUAACCAAAGAUAACUAGGGGAUUAAGUGUAGGAUUGCUAACAAAUCUAACAUCUCCACCACCUGGAGCCCAAGUGUCGUAUACCCCACCAAUAAAUAAAGCUUUAAUAACUAACAGAAAAGCGCCAAUGCCUAAUAACACUAAGUGUAUACCAAGUAUUGUUGUCAUUUUGUUUUUAUCCCGCCA